GGAAAAGCUUCCAUUGUCUCCAUGUAAUGAUUAGAUGUUGGUUAUAGUAACAGAGAAGGAAACGUCAGAUAACUGAAGCAAAGGCAAAGGUAUCUUCGCAGUCAAGUUACAGAACACCAUCUUCCUGAGAGACGGGAAAAGCAGAGGAAGAAAGUGGGAGACCGGACUUCAGGUGGAGAAGCAUCUUUGGCAGAAGCAGUAGCAGUAUCCCAUGAGAAGAGAGUGAUUUUUCCAAAUAGACAGCUCUCAUGCUAUUCAGGUGGUGACAUUUACUCACAAGUUUACACAAAUGGAAACAUGGCAUUCAUGAGUCACUGGUCUUAAAGUGGUAUCAGGAAUAAAAGCCUAAGUUUCUUGACUCUUAUCUUCAGAAUGAAGUUUUGCUAUCUGCAUUUGCGGAGCUACUUAGAAAGCACCAGCUAGAGAGAACAAGAGAUGUCACUUUUUUGCCACAACACUACCAGGACACUGUUAUACACAGUACAACAGAGAUUUCACUCUUUUCCUCACUGAAAAUGUGAAAUUGCUAAAUCAUAUACUGAGUACCCUCUUGCUGCCACCCCCCCGCCAGAGAUUGUUAGGUAUGGAGAGUUCUGGGAACCGAGCUAAAAGGAUGGAAGGAAAAACGAUGUGCUGUAAUUUCACCCAGGAUAGCAGUUAAAAGCAUGCUUGCUGUUAUUUUAAGGAUUUAAAGAACCUGAUUCCCCAUCUGAAACUGGUUUCAUUCUGUUGGUACUAAUGCUUUUGGGAGCACUGAGAUCCUACUGGCUGAAUAUUUGGGAAUGUCCCUUUAUGGAAGGACCAAAUCCUCCAAGGAGAAUGACACUGAGCUAGCCCUAUGAAACGCUACAGCAUUACUCUGCAGAUGUUCAGGUGGGAUACUGGCAUGUGACACAUGGACACCACGAUAGAGUCUUGGGAGCAUGAGUUUGGGAUGAAUGUGAAAGAGGCAAAUGGCAGCGGACAUAACCAGGACAUGGGAUACAUAAUCGUCUAGUGCUGUUUUUAUUAGAAAAACUGUCUUCUCUUCAGAGAUGCUUACUGUUUGAACUCCGCUGGCAACUGGUCAGCCCCGCAGCACAGCAACAGCAUGUUGGCAUCGCAGGUAGCUGCAACACCCAUCUCUGGUGAUCCCCACGAUAAGCCUGCUUGCCAGCAGGCAUCGGCCCUGAAUUGAUUCUGGACACUCCUGUGUUUCUGUGUCGCCUGGUGCCAAACGGAAGUUCGGUGUCUGCCAACGUACACCACAAUGAUUUUUCUCUCAGUCAGAAAAACCCACAACAACACGUAAAUGCCGGAGAUAGCAUUUUUUGUCUGCUCGUAUACUCCUUAAUUUUAGCUGUAAUACAGGGUUUAUAUGUCGGGCUGGUUUGUAUGUAUUUGUAUGUAUUUUCUGCUAUCUUUAUCUUGCAACAGGGGUACAACUAAAGUGCUAAAUAUUUAAAAAAUCCCUAAUAAGCAGAUAACGAUUAAAAAUUCAGGUGUGUAGUCCUUCAGACACCUCUGCCUGGAAACUGUGUUUCACUUAACAGGGUAUUUCGAAGGAUGAUGCUAAAUGCUGUAUGCAGCUUCUAAGUGAUAGUAUGAUGGAGCAUGGUGCCAUACGCCUUUAAAAUUUUCAGUAUUCAUCAUGGAAUGCUAUUUAUCCACCACACAUAAGCAACAAACUUUUAUCUUGUCCACAUAGGGUUAUGAGGGUCAUUGGCUAAGCAGUAAGAAUAAUUAGGUGGUUUUCAGUUUGGCAAAAAUUAAGACUGACUCAUCCACGUCAUUUUUUAUUGCUGUUCCUCUCUGCCUUAUCACUGUUCUUGCCCCCUAAUAUGUUUCCAAGAGGCACUUAGAAAAUGCCCUCAAUAAUAUCCUGUAACUUUGGUUAGCCCUGAAGUGGUUGGACUUGAUCUCUUUAGGUUCCUUCCAAAAGAACUAUUCUAAAUUUUAAAUUCCUUUGUUUAGCUUGGAAAAAAAAAAAAGUGUUAUAUUUUUCAGUCUCUUACAGAAAAUAAGAAAUAUAUAUGAAGGGUUAGAUUCACACUAUUGCUUCCCAUUUCCAGUAAUGGGAAAGGUCACAUUUUAACUCUUGCCUCUGCCAGGGGUAUUUUACCCUCUGUCUUUCAGGAGAAUGUCUCAACAUUUAGUCAAUGUGGCUAAAUUCAUUCGUAAAUUCAUUUAAAUUCAUUGUGCAUAAAUCAUUUACUCAACAUAAAGUCAUUGUGACACAAAGUGGGACCAGGAAGUGGGAGGAUGCCUGCUGCUCGUUGGGAGGCUCAAGGUCUGGAUGUCAGCUGGACCUGUUCUAACCUGAAUUUAAUUACAGAAGAAAAGACAUUUCCAAAAAAUACACACUGACAAUUUAGCAUCUUCAAACCUGCUGGCUGAGACAUUUUCUGGGAGGAGGGAAGACCAGGAAAUCGUAUCUGCAUCUCCCAUAUCCCAUCUCACCACUCUAGUCAUCAGGCAGUGCUGUCUUUCACUGUGAGGAUAAUGCUGAAAAUAUGUUUCUUUUCCUUGCUUGGAAAGUACUUGCUGAGUUGGGCACAUAUUUGCAGAUGUUUCAGGAUGGCUGAAGUGCCAGAUUUUGGUGAACAAACUCUGCUUGCACACACUGCACCCAGCUGAACUCAAGAGCCUCUUUUGGUCUGCACAGGCUCAGCUGCUCCACUGCCUGUGAGCAAAGAGUCUCAUUUCGGAGGCAGACCUCCCAUGGUGGGGACAUGAGCAGUGUGGGGUGUGUUCAGUCCCCAUGGUCAACCCAGCAGGUCUGAGUCAGGACUUGGACCUCCCGCAGGUCCUUAUAAGGAGCUGCUGACCUUGCUCAGCAGCAGACACGUUGUGCUUCACCUGGAUCAACCAUGAAAUAGGCUGCUGCCACUGAGUGACACCUCUGCUUCCAGAGGAGCCACCUCUGGUGGUGGCUUUUACUCGAGUCAGUUAUAAACCCGUUUGGUGUUCUUCCACGUGUCUGAGUAAAUCCGUGGGUCCUGAGCGAGGAAAACGUUUUAACACUGCAACUCAGAAAGGGCCUUCAGAAUUCAAAACAGUCUUGUGUAACUUGUGAGGGCUCCUGAAACGCAUUUACUCUCUUACUUAUUCCAUUUUGCUGCCUCUCUUCCCUCCACCGCACCUUCUGCACACCUGGCUGUUAAAAGCAGACAUGCGUAAGUGCAGAUAUGUUUAAUGCUGUCUAGACAAGCUCCCUAUUAAGCUGGGCUGGGGCAGCAGUUGCCAUAGUGAUGAAUAAAUAAGGUCUUGUAGCUGAAAACAAGGUAGAGGUGAAUUCAUACUUUUUUUUUUUCAAUAUAGUCGUGAUAUGAGAGUGAAUUUACUGUAUGAGAAAUGGCAACUCUGUGUUAGUUUUUAACACAAAGAACUAUAAAUAGAAAGUGAUACAGUUUGUUAAGGGCUAGACCUUCGUAUUUCACAAUGAAGGUGAAAACUCUGAGUUUUGAAAGAACAGCCUCAAAAAAAUGCUCCUAAAUGCAAAGAUCAAGUUUGCAAUAUCUCUGUUUCUGUUGGGUAUAAAGCACAAACUUAUAUAAUGUGCUGCCUUUGUAGCUUAACAGGUGGUAACUUUUCACUGCCCAGAACAGUGAAGGGUCCAGAAAAGCCCUCUUCUGUGUUCACAUCAUCUCUGCCUGAAAACGCAGCACAAGAGAAUUGCUGGGGUAGGCUUCAAAAGAAACCACGACAUUUUCUCACAGCAGCAAAGGCCCAUGCGAAAAAGCCUCCCAUUUUCACUCUAUGGCUUAAGACAGAGACACCUCUCACUUCCCAUGGAAGACUUUAAGCCGCAGCAAUCUACUUGUGGGGUGCCAGUGGGAGGGAAGGAGGCUCGCAACCCCAGCUGCAGUUAAUGUGGCUUCACAUUGCGUGCUUGCCACGUGGGGCAUUUUUAUUUUCAUCUGAAACUCAUGAGAUUUGCUUCAUUGAAGAGGAAAAUGUUACAAGCUAACUGUGCUCAGAGGAAAUAAAGCAAGGAAGUGGUAUUUCAGAUGGUAUUAUGACAUUUAUGAGUUCAUUUCUCUUUAUCUCUUUUACAUAAUUUCUAUGUCAGACUUUCAGACAUAGCUGAGCUGUAUAUUUCAAUGUAUAUCUUAGUGUACACAAGAUAGUCUUUGAGGUCUAAGAUAAGAAAGAAAUAUUUUCCACAUAGAACAAGUUCAGAAAAAUGCUUAGUUAUGAUACUUAGUCUGAGUACCAAUUUUUUCAUCUAUAAAGUGGAAUUUUUCUUGAUUUCAGAAGCAGGCAGAUGUGGGCUUACAGAUUUCAGGAUCAAAAACUAAAAUAAAAGCCCAGAUGCCUAAAACUCCUCUUACUGAGAUAUAUGCCCCACCUCACUUCUUGUUUACUUCAAAAGGAGAUGAACAAGCCGAGCAUUUCUGGAAAAUUCACUUCAAAAUGGGAAUCACAUGAAUGCCAAGUCACCUGAAAAUUCCAGGGAACAGACUGACAAUUAAAUAGAUUCUUCUAGACCACUCAAUCUUAAUUGUAUGUACAAAUAUUUUAGAGCUAAAGCUAUAAAAAAUAACAAAAGUAGUGGUGAUAAAUAUUAGUACAUAUGGAUGAAAUACCAAUAUUUUCUCAGCCACAGAUGUAGUUUCAGUAAUGUUUGAUUGUUGACUAGGAUGAAACACUUACUAUGAUAAAUUACAUUUUCACCCAUUUCUGAUGUUAUCUUUUGUCCAGGGUCAAAAGUUACCUAUUUUUGGUUGCAGUUAAAAACUAUUGUAGGUGGAGUGAGAUGGGUAGAAACAACUACAAUUUACCCUAGCAAAGGCAGUAUAACAUAAAAAACCUACGUUCCUAAAAAGUAGAACUCGAAAAACUUCUGUGACAGGAUAAUUGAAUCUAUAAAAGUUCUGCUGCUGCAAAAGCAUUGUUGGUUAGCUAUACGUAUGCUUUCCUGUCUCCUUGCCAACAUGGUUAUGUGGGUAAAACUUGCUGGUGUGGCCUACAGGUUGACAUUGAAUGUGUACAGAGAGAACUGAGACCUGCUCUGCUGCAGGGUUAGACAAACCCAGACAUUAAGGACAUUUCCCUCUGGAGUUUCAUUAAAUGAAUUUGGUCAGUGAUCCUACUGAACUGUAAAUACCCAGAUUAGUAAUGUUGUAAUGCGUGUAGGCAUUUUGCUCUUACCGAGGAUGUAUCCAUCUUCUCUGCAAGAAUGCAUUUCUUAAAUUCUGCAACAUCUAUCACUAUUAUUUUGAAUAAAUGUUCCUUUUCAAGGAUUAUCCCCAUCAUCAUGAAGACUGAGUACCAGGGAGAGCUCUGGAUUAUGUAUUUACAGUAUAUAUAUCAAAGCCUCAUUUUCAGGGCCUCAGAGACUCUGAGUUUUGAAGCUGUUCUCAAUCCAGUUUUGUGCAAAAUGGGAAAUAAUGUCUGUGCAAAUGCCUCAUUUUUGACCUAAGAUUUUAACAAACAUAAAAAUUGCUAGGUGCAUGCCUCUGAUUUCAGCAUGUCACUAAAUUUGAACAUUUUUGACAUAGUAUUAUAGGUACACUUGUUUUUUCUGUAUGUUCAUAUGUACAUUUCUCAGUAUAUAUGCGUUUACUGAAGUACAUCUCGCUUGUUGGUGUUUGAUUUAUCUUCGCUAUUUCUUUUAAAUGAUUUUUUUUUUUGGCUUCUAAGACUCAGAUUAUAAUUUAUUAUUGUCUAAGCUUUUAAAAUUGAUUAGCAUCUUUUCUCAACAGAAGUAGAAAUAAAAGCCAAUGCAUUUUGAUUAACCUGUCAUAAUACAAAAGUUUUUACAUAAUUUCUACAAAGUUUCUACCAAGUCAUUCUUCAAAAAAAUUACUAAUAAAUAAAUCAUAAUUUUCCCCAACCUACACAAUUUUCAGGCAGGUUUUACAUCUGCUUGGAUAAUCUAUUUUGGAAGCUAGUUUAUUUUGCUUGCAGUUUUACUUUGCAGAGAGCAAAGCAGAGCUUUCUCAGAUAUCUAAAAUAUAGUGAUUGCUAGAAGCCUCAUUCCAAAUGCUCAAAGUCAAUAGGAAUCUGGCCAGCUUAAAUGAGUUUUGGGCUAGGUCCAAGGUGAAACAUAAAUAAUUCACUAACUGAAGAGCUCCACAGUCUUACUGAGUACCUUUUUGGGUACACUUGAGGAAGGCACCAUACUCCUGUAGCGUUGGCUGGUUUAUCCCAACACAAAUACUACUACCAGAGUGGUAUGUAAUAAAGUCUUAAGGCAAGUUUUUUUCAGGGUUGUUUCAUUUAGCACUGAUUUGUUUCUCAGAAAAGUGGAAAAAAAAAACACAAAAAAACAAAAAACAGAAAUUUGCUUCAGGAAUACACUAGUGUAAUUUACACUUCCUAAAACACACGGUGACUUCAUGUAAAUCAGUGAUUACAGUUGACACCUUUGCUUCCUAAAAACUCGUGUCUCGUUUUACAUAGAAUUCCUUAUAUAACUUUCCAUUGACUUUUCUGCAAAGAUUUUAUUCAUUAUGUGAUUUUUCUCCUCUACUCCAGUGCACAGAGGGAAUUGUGUUCAGCCUCUUAUUCACGACCAAAUUUUGGGCUCUGGAAAUCAUAAACCAGAGAGUAGUGGAGGAACUGACAUAGUGUAAAAAAAUCACCUUCAGUUCUAGAAGCAAGGCAGUCUGUGUAGUAGUGGGUGCCUCAGAAACAACACUGUCCAGCUAAGGCAUCCUUCCUAUUUCCUACAGGAUACUUUCCCACUCUCUUGUACCUUUUCUCUCUGUCCUUAAAUAUCUCUGUCAGGUUUUAAUAAGAAAUAGAGAAAUAACCAGUGUUCCAGUUUCCUGAAAAGCUUGACACAAGGAAUGAAAAGGGAAAUUGUGAAAGGAAGAAAUGGGGAAAAAUAACAGCAAAAUGAAUCACCUGGGUUACUGAGCCCAGCCUUUUACUUUAGCACGUAACAGAACAUACAAACUCUUUCAGAAAUAUAUCAAACUCUGUGUUAAACAUUGGUGCUAUCCUUUACUCAUUCCACAUCUGAAGAAGAGGUUGUUCCAGAAACCUGUGUUCACUCCUAGCACAUUUCUGGCUACCUCCAGCUUGCCAUUUGCCAUUCCAGAGUGCCCUAAACAGAAAGGCCGUGAGCAGCUCUUCUCCACUGCAGUAAAAAUGCUGUCCUGUAAUGGAAAUGGCCUCCUACCUCUCUUUUGCUCUGUAUCUGUAACCUUCAUCUCCAGUCUUGGGUCAUUCUGAAGGUGAACUGUACCAUCAGUAGUAACAUACUUUCUUGAGUCACAGCAGUGAGCUCUUCCAGAAAUGUUAUGUAACUCGUAGAAAUAACGCUGAAAAUCAUCUUUCUCUUUCACCUGCUUGGAGAUGGUUAAUGCUAGUAGCUGUGGUUAACAGCAGUUCUUGCAUGAUUUGGUUUCUUUUUAUCUAGAGAAGCUCCAAAAAGGUCAGUUCUCUUCUGACAUUAGAACUAGUGUCUGUCUCUUCUGCAGUGUGAUGAGUUUCUUGUAGAACUCCACAGUCUUGGAACAACACGGGCAACCGAAAGUCCUGAAGUUGACUAAAAAUGUUUCAAAAGCCUAGGCUUCAGAUAACUUUAGUUAAUAUGAGCUCAGUAGUAAAAUUUAUGAAAUACUGUAAUAUUGCUUGACAAAAUAUAUGUGUGUAUAUAUAUAUAUAUUUCAUUUAUCAGCUGAUACAAGUGUGAAUUCUUCUUUUGCUGCCAUACUGGAGUUAUGGUUCUGCCAUGGCUUGUUUCCUUUGCCCGUUGUAAAAUGUAUAUGAUGUCCUAGAGCUGCAUAAUAAAUCAUAUAAGAAGACGGA